UUCCUUGAUACUUUUGCCUUUGCUUUGCUUCGCUUCCCAUUGGCUGAGUUUUAAAGCUCAUUUUUUUAGUUUCUCCGGAAGAAGAAGGGAGAGAUUAAACAAAGUUCCAAACAAAAGCAAAGAACCCCACACCUCAAAAAUCAAUAAAUAAACACAAGUAAUCAGCAAAAAAGUAAUAAAAAAGAGAGUAAAACAGCGAUUGUAGCAGUUGGGAAGUUUUAGUUUUUAGUGGGAAAUUAAAAGGAAUAACCGAUUGGCGGUUUGUCGGAAAGCUGCCCACAGAAAGGUUCCAUGAUGAAUCAACAAGCUAUAUCUUUCCAAUCAGCUGCAAGCAACAGUAGUUCUGAGAUGAUUCCGAUGAGUGGUUACUUUGCUCCGGCCAUGAAUUUCACUAGAAAUUCCGGUAUUCUUACUGCCUCCCCUGACUUAAUCGAAGCCGGGAACUCUUCUGGCUCUUCUCCACUGCUUGACUCGGCUACCGGACUCAAGCAGGAUAAAAGCGUAACUAUUGAAUGGUCUGUUGAUGAACUGUACAUAUUGAAAGACGGGCUUGAAAGAUAUAAAAAGGAACCAAAUAUUCUGAAGUACAUAAAGAUUGCGGCUUCAUUGCCUGGUAAAACUGUUCGUGAUGUUGCAUUGAGGUGUAGGUGGAUGCAAAGAAAGCGAAGGAAACCUGAAGAACUUAAUGUGGGGGAAAAAGUGAACAAUAGGAAGGAUAAGCUGGUGGAGUCAUCCUCAAAGAUGAAUAUUCCUUCAUCCAUGCCGCAAAGCAUGAGUGCUUAUUCUCUCAUGACGCAUCAUCUUGACCAGAAUGAAAGAAUGCCUUCUGAAGGAAUCUUUGGUACAACUAUGCAUCUUUUGAAGCAAAAUUCUCAAGUUUUUGGUCAAAUCACAUCCAAUCUUUCUGCAUAUAAGUUGCAGGAUAACAUCAAUCUCUUUGUUCACGCAAAGAACAAUAUUACCACCAUGCUAAACGACAUGAGGACAUGCCGGGUUUAAUGAGCCACAUGCUGAUGUUGCUGUCUCUGUUAAUGAGAAUUUAGCUAAUAGCAUGUUGCGUGGUGCAACUCAGAUGACGAUUUUCGGCUCACCAAGCGGAAUCAAUCUCAAGCAGGAGCCAAGGUGCUGAUCGGGAAUCAUUGAGCUCAAGGUCCGAUGUAUCUGGUAAUGUGUAAGCUACGGGAAAAAAUUCUCAUGUAAAUUCAUAAGAAACCGGUAGGAUACUAUUCUUAAUCUCUGUGUAGACACACUCAAUUCACAAGUUGAGUGCCACCAUGGAAGAACUUGUAGAAAUCCCAAUUUUGGAACCUGAAAUAUUAACCACCAUCAAGUAAACCCUAGCACCAGAUAAUAAGAA